rnacentral:rRNA from 1 species
AUGUAUUAUGAUAUUCCCUCCGUGGUCGGGUUUUGUUUUUCGUUUUGCAUUUUGUUCAUGUCAUGCAUCUCAUAUCAUGUCAUCAUGUGCAUUGCAUUUGCAUACGUGUUCGUCUCAUGCAUCCGAGCAUUUUCUCCGUUGUCCGUUUUGCAAUCCGGCACUCCCAUCUCCUCCGGCGCACCCCUCUUGUUUUCCUUUCGUGAGCGGGUGUUGAAGGUUCUCGGAAUGGACCGAGUCUUGUCAAGUGGCCUUGGUAUACCACCGGUAGACCACCGGUCAAGUUUCGUUCCAUUUGGAGGUCGUUUGGUACUCCAACGGUUAACCGGGUAA